GGAUCGGUGUGCUAACAGGUAAAGCACUUGAACUUAAAAUUCAAGGAUUGCGGGUUCGAAUCCCGCUCGAUCUACCA
rnacentral:tRNA from 1 species